rnacentral:rRNA from 2 species
CAUCAUGAUUUACAUUUGAGUGAGUGGCGAACUGGUGAGUAACACGUGGGAAACCUGCCCAGAAGCGGGGGAUAACACCUGGAAACAGAUGCUAAUACCGCAUAACAACUUGGACCGCAUGGUCCGAGCUUGAAAGAUGGCUUCGGCUAUCACUUUUGGAUGGUCCCGCGGCGUAUUAGCUAGAUGGUGGGGUAACGGCUCACCAUGGCAAUGAUACGUAGCCGACCUGAGAGGGUAAUCGGCCACAUUGGGACUGAGACACGGCCCAAACUCCUACGGGAGGCAGCAGUAGGGAAUCUUCCACAAUGGACGAAAGUCUGAUGGAGCAACGCCGCGUGAGUGAAGAAGGGUUUCGGCUCGUAAAACUCUGUUGUUAAAGAAGAACAUAUCUGAGAGUAACUGUUCAGGUAUUGACGGUAUUUAACCAGAAAGCCACGGCUAACUACGUGCCAGCAGCCGCGGUAAUACGUAGGUGGCAAGCGUUGUCCGGAUUUAUUGGGCGUAAAGCGAGCGCAGGCGGUUUUUUAAGUCUGAUGUGAAAGCCUUCGGCUCAACCGAAGAAGUGCAUCGGAAACUGGGAAACUUGAGUGCAGAAGAGGACAGUGGAACUCC